AGAGUUUGAUCCUGGGUCAGAUUGAACGCUAGCGGGAUGCUUUACACAUGCAAGUCGAACGGCAGCGCGAGAGAGCUUGCUCUCUUGGCGGCGAGUGGCGGACGGGUGAGUAAUAUAUCGGAACGUGCCCAGUAGCGGGGGAUAACUACUCGAAAGAGUGGCUAAUACCGCAUACGCCCUACGGGGGAAAGGGGGGGAUCGCAAGACCUCUCACUAUUGGAGCGGCCGAUAUCGGAUUAGCUAGUUGGUGGGGUAAAGGCUCACCAAGGCAACGAUCCGUAGCUGGUUUGAGAGGACGACCAGCCACACUGGGACUGAGACACGGCCCAGACUCCUACGGGAGGCAGCAGUGGGGAAUUUUGGACAAUGGGGGAAACCCUGAUCCAGCCAUCCCGCGUGUAUGAUGAAGGCCUUCGGGUUGUAAAGUACUUUUGGCAGAGAAGAAAAGGUAUCCCCUAAUACGGGAUACUGCUGACGGUAUCUGCAGAAUAAGCACCGGCUAACUACGUGCCAGCACCGCGGUAAUAC
rnacentral:rRNA from 1 species